AUACGGAGGGUGCAAGCGUUGUUCGGAAUUACUGGGCGUAAAGCGCGUGUAGGCGGCUUGGUAAGUCGGAUGUGAAAGCCCGGAGCUCAACUCCGGAACGGCAUCCGAAACUGCCUCGCUAGAGUCCCGGAGAGGAAGGCAGAAUUCCCAGUGUAGGGGUGAAAUCCGUAGAUAUUAGGAGGAAUACCAGUGGCGAAGGCGACUUCCUGGGCCAAUACUGACGCUGAGGCGCGAGAGCGUGGGGAGCAAACAGGAUUAGAAACCCCAGUAGUCC
rnacentral:rRNA from 1 species